GGUGAAGAACGCAGCGAAAUGCGAUAAGUAAUGUGAAUUGCAGAAUUCAGUGAAUCAUCGAAUCUUUGAACGCACAUUGCGCCCCCUGGUAUUCCGGGGGGCAUGCCUGUCCGAGCGUCAUUACAACCCUCAAGCUCAGCUUGGUGUUGGGCCCCGCCGCCCCGGCGGGCCCUAAAGUCAGUGGCGGUGCCGUCCGGCUCCGAGCGUAGUAAUUCUUCUCGCUCUGGAGGUCCGGUCGUGUGCUCGCCAGCAACCCCCAAUUUUUUUCAGGUUGACCUCGGAUCAGGUAGGGAUACCCGCUGAACUUAAGCAUAUCAAUAAGCGGAGGA
rnacentral:misc_RNA from 1 species